rnacentral:piRNA from 1 species
GAAUUAGCAAUGCCAAGAGAG